rnacentral:rRNA from 1 species
UGGGGAAUAUUGGACAAUGGGGGCAACCCUGAUCCAGCAAUGCCGCGUGUGUGAAGAAGGCCUUCGGGUUGUAAAGCACUUUAGGUUGGGAAGAAGGUUUGUAUUUUAAGAGAUAACAAACUUGACGGUACCAACAGAAUAAGCACCGGCUAACUCUGUGCCAGCAGCCGCGGUAAUACAGAGGGUGCAAGCGUUAAUCGGAGUUACUGGGCGUAAAGGGCGCGUAGGUUGUUGCAUAAGUUGGUUGUGAAAGCCCUGGGCUUAACCUGGGAAUUGCAACCAAAACUGUGUGACUUGAGUACUGUAGAGGGUAGUGGAAUUUCCGGUGUAGCGGUGAAAUGCGUAGAGAUCGGAAGGAACACCAGUGGCGAAGGCGGCUACCUGGACAGAUACUGACACUGAGGCGCGAGAGCGUGGGGAGCAAACAGG